AGCGGUCGAUGCGGUGUUUAGUCAUUAUUAUGUCUAUGGGUGGACAAAGCACAGGAAGUAGCUCCGUAAGUUAUUUAGUUUGUAAAAAGUGCUCAUAACUAUUUCGUCUCGAACGAUACAGGAUAAAACAGGAUUAUUUUUGUUGAUAGGUUGAUCAAGCAGAUGUGAGCACUUUAUAGGUGGAUGCCGCUUGGCACAAGACUCGUGGAGAAAUGUAUAGCUUUGACAUAAAAUAUCGCUGGCCUGUGUGGCUAUGUGGAUGUCUUGCUCAUCAAACGAAAUAUGCUGGUGACUCCCAAGAUCUGACUGACCGGAGAAAACAGGUGGGAAAAUCUCAGGUAGAGUCAAGUAAACGUGUUUGCCAUGCAUGCUGGUCUGUAUGCAUGUGAAGCCUAAGCAAACAAGGAUUUGCGCAACUUUUCCAGGGAAAGAUGCAGUCAUAUCUUUAUCUUUAUGCUGUGUAGAGAAUAUGGACAGACCCCACCACAGUUUGUCCUCUGAAAUGACCUUGCUGUUUAUUCUUUGGUGUCUAAUCACGCUGUUCAACUGAAGUUCAGAAUGGACUUUAGUGACCCAUGGGUAAGCUGAACAUUUUAGUAUCUUGAUGAACAAUGUGGCCUUAAAAUAUAAGGCCAUUCAUCUUGCCAUCUUUUGACCUUACUAUUAAGGUUUUCCAAC